rnacentral:rRNA from 1 species
UACGGAGGUGGCAAGCGUUGCUCGGAAUCACUGGGCGUAAAGGGCGCGUAGGCGGGGAGGUAAGUCGGGUGUGAAAUCCCUCGGCCCAACCGAGGAACUGCGCCCGAGACUGCUUCUCUUGAGUCCCGGAGAGGAAGAUGGAAUUCCCGGUGUAGCGGUGAAAUGUGUAGAGAUCGGGAGGAACACCGGUGGCGAAGGCGGGUCUCUGGGCAAUUCCUGACGCUGAGGCGCGAAAGCGUGGGGAGCAAACGGG